CCCAGGCCCCGCCCCCUGCCGCCCGCCGCCCGCCGCCCGCGGUGACGACCCCGACCCCGCGCACGCGCAGAUGCCUGCAGACGCCUCCGAAGCGGGUGGCGAUCAGUGAGGGAGUGUCCCACUCUGGUUCCAACCUGCGUUUCGCUGCCCCUCGGGAUCCCGUCCUGCACACUCGGAGUCCAGGGAUCGCCCCGGACGUUAAAGUCCCCGCACCCGGAUUGACUUCUCAAGACUGACCUUGCCUGAGAAAGAAGCCCGGGGAGCUUACCUAAGAAAGAAGUGUCAGGAAUGUCUCUUUUCCAGGUAAAAGUCAUAUUCUUGGUUGAUUAUUUUGUCUCUCCUUCCUGAAAUGUCAUCUUUUCUUUUUGUUUGAGAGAUUGCGAGUUUACAGAACAAACAUGCAUACCAUACAGGGUUCCCGUACAUCACCCCACCACCAUUGUUGUGACACAUUUGUUACAAAUGAUGAAGCAACAUCAUCAUAUUACUGCAAUCAGUAAUCCAUAGCUUUUGUUUUUU
rnacentral:lncRNA from 1 species